AAGUCGUAACAAGGUUUCCGUAGGUGAACCUGCGGAAGGAUCAUUAUUGAAUUACCGGUUAGGGUUGUAGCUGGCCUUUCGGGGCACGUGCACGCCCGAGCCUUUAAUCCACACACACACUGUGAACCCAAUGUAAGGGCCCGUAAAAAAGGCUCCUACGUCUUCAUACACGCAUGUUUUGUAGAAUGUAAAAAUCCAUAUCUUCGCUCUAAAACGGCGUUGAUAAACUUAUACAACUUUCAACAACGGAUCUCUUGGCUCUC
rnacentral:misc_RNA from 1 species